CAGAUGGAGAGUGUCAGGCUGGUAGGUUGAGGCCAGAUUUUCAAGCACCUGUCUAUCUACCAUGUUGACGAGUCGGUACUUCCUUCUGUAGGUAACAUUCAAGUGUUAUAAGCAGUGGGGGCUAUGUGUGUGACAUGAUGAAAUUCGUAUUUUAGAAAGAUCACUUUGAGAUGAUGCUUUGGAGGUGGAAAGGAAGCGGAGAAACUGGUCAAGAGACUCUUGGAACAGUCCAGUCAAGAGAUGAUGUGGGUGUGAAUUCAGCAUUAACCAGCAUCUGUUGCAUCUACUUACUGUCUCAUUUGCUUGGUAAAACACCUAGCUCAUGUUAUGCAUCCAUAAAUACUAUCAAAUUUAGUUCUGAAUGACAAAUAAUCUCAUUUUCUUAGAUCAAUAAAGAAGCACAUAAGUGACAGCAAUAGGGAAGUGUUUACUUGAGAUGCAAAGUAGGGGAGUGCCCAAGAAAUGAGGUAGAUCUUGUGUGAUGUCGACCUCAGGAAUCCAGAAUGUGGCCCUCCAGAGUAGCCAGAACUGGUGCCUGUCAGAAUUACAAGUUCAUAUUUGCAUUUCCCCUUCCUUUGCUUCCUGAUCCCCAUUCCUCUUGUUGAUUCUGCUGUCUGCAACAUGCACGGACGCAAAGAACUAACCUGAAGGAUUGUCUAAUAAUGUAGUUAUGCCUUUAGCAAUCUACAUUAACCUUAUUUGACAAACCGUCAGGGUAUAGAGACAAAGAGAGAUCUUUAUAUUACAGGUUUUAAUGUUAAAUCCUGUCAUAAACUGUUCAGGUAUACUUCACAGAAGGAAAAAUAUAUUUGGUGAACAAUGGAGUCAAGUUAAAACAAGAAAAAGAACAUGUUCUGUUCUUUGGUAAAUGUUUCUCUGCCAAGUAUAGAAGUUCCUCUGUUGUUAGGACCAAUACAAGUAGGGGCUUAAAGGGCCAAGAGCUGCAUGCAGGGUCACCCUGGUGGAUAAACAAAAUUCAUGGAGUUGGUGGUGGUCAGAGGUGCUGGGUGAUUGUAGAACAUGAUUCAAAGAACACUUAGAAUUAGCUCUCUUUGGGGGUAUGUCUGGUGGUUUCCAUUCCUGUAAAUGUAGCAGUGAUCAGAACAGCAAGAGGCCUCAAGAACAGGCAAGUCUUCAACUGAGGUGGGAGAUUUGAGUUCAGGUUUAGCCUCCAACCCUAAUCCCAGUGAGACCUUGGCAAGUCGCUUCAGCCAUCUGAGUGUUAUUUUCUCCAUCAGUAAAUUGAGAUGACCUAGCUCAUCUCUGGGUUCCCUUUCACUCUGACAAAUCCUUUACUCCAUGAUGUCUGAUCUGUGAAAUGUUACCAACAGCUUGUAUAUAGUAGUAAGGGCUCAGUGUGCUUCUCUGUAAAAUAGGGGUAAGGUGAUCUACCUCACAAAGAUGGUGUGAGGAUUACAUUUAAAGUGAGAUCAUGGGUGAAAGUCUUUAGCACCGAACCUAUCAAAUAGUAGGUUCUCAAGAAAUCCCAGUGUCCUUUAUCAGGUCUUCCAUCUGUUAAAAAUGUUUAUUGAGCACUUACUAUGUGAAAAGCUGUGUUCUAGAAGCUGGAUCCAUAAUAGUGAAUAAAAGAUACAAAUUCACUACCUGUGUGGAACUUUCAAUAAACAGACCAAUGAAUGCAUGCUGGCACAUCAUUUCUCCCCUUCUUUCCUCCUUGACUUUCUCUUCCCUCUUCCUCUUCAACCUAUUUUCUCUCAGCUCCUGGUGCAGAUCCUGGCUGAUGAGAAUCUAACCCCAGAAAUGAUAGGUCAAAGGCUGGAGGACUAGUGUGUGAGACUUUGAAUAUUUUUACGCAGGGCCUAGGAAGUGGUGUGGAUAAAUGAGCUUGAAUGGUGACAAGAGUAGGAACAGAGUUAAUCAAAGUAAGUGGAUACCAGGGCUGAACUUGAGUAUUCUCCACAUCUAAGAAUGUUGACAACACUAAGCUGCUUACUUCUUUAGAUGAAACACCUGGAAAGUCAUAUACACAGAGUAUGCAAAGAUAAUUAAAACAACAACAACAACAACAACAACAACAACAACAACAACUUAUGACUCUACAAUCAACUCACUUCACUUACCAUCUGGAGCAGGCCAGGCAAGGCAUUGUUCUCCUAGAGAUUUCCUUUUCUUCUGUUAACCAGUGAUGAACUCCCACUCAUCCAUCAAGCCCCAGAAUGUUUGCUCCAUGAAGACAGAGGUCUUAGUCUCGUUCCCAGAUGUAUCUUCAGUGCCCAGAACAGUGCUUGGCAAAAGCACUCAACAAACAGCUGAAUGAGGAAACUGGGGUCCAGGGCCCAGAGAUCCACUUGAAUCAAAGUGGAUUGAGGAUGCUCCAGUCAGAAUUAUGGAAAUCAGCCCCACAUCUCCCUGGCUGCCAAUAUAGCUCUGACUUUUACCCUCAUUCAGAUAUGUUCUCAUGCCUGAGGCACUGUGCCCGCCGUGGAGCGCCAUUCUGGGUAUCCUGGGAGCAAAUCACCAUCAGCCACUCCUCUAAACUCCUGGAUGUUGUUCUGAGACGUCUCACCGUGACAGCACCUGCGACACAGGUAAGCUUCGUGGAAAUGCUCAGGUGAAGAGGGGCGAGGGGAAGUUGACGGAAGGACAAUUUUCACUGAUGGCAGGACAAGCGAUGAGGAAAUAGCUUGGUCACAGCUGGCUCCAAUCAAGUCUUUACCACAGAGAACAACUCUCACACUGGGAAGGUCAGUGGAAUUCUUUAUAUUUAGGAGUUAUUUCUUAUAAAAAAAAUUCAUCGUGGCCAGUUUAAUAGUGUAAACUUGAGAGGCAGAAAUAGCUCCAUAAAAACAAAAUUAAAACCCAAAACCCUUCUUUCUACUAAUUUUGAGUACUAUGGGAAAAAUCUCUAGCUACUGUUCUUGCUGAGGGGCGUAGGGUGGUCUGCAGAGGUCUGUGGAUACUGACAUUUUCUUCUCUGGUCAUUUCCAUGUAUCAACUGUAGAGAGAGAUCAUGGUAAUUCCAAUGCUUUUCUUGUCUAAAUACCAAAAGAACUCAUCUCCCAUAACCAAACACAGGAAUGACAAAACGAUAAUAAUCUCCCAAACGCGUUAACACGUUCUGUGUGACCUCAGCAUGUCUGUAAAGCCUGUUGUGAAAGAACAGUGACAGACAGGCAGGACAAAAAUGCAUUGACAUCACUUCUGCACUGGGCUGAGGUGCGGCCAUUACUGAGAAGACAGUAGCCUUUUCCUAGCAGGUCCUGAAGCCACAACAGGGCCCAGGAGGCAGUGUCAGGGCCCAGAGCCCUUGCAACAGCUGGCUAGAGUCAGAGGGUGGGGCAGCUGAGCCAGGGGCCAGUGAGACUUUGGAGAGAUGGCCCACACAUGCCUUAGGCAAGCACAUUUAGCUUACCCAAGCAGCUGUUCUUUUCCUCUCCUUCCACAUGGAGCAUCAGACACCCCCUUCUUCCCUGAGACUUAGGGGCCACGAUGACCCGCGGGCCCUCUGCACCUGCUGCCUGGACCGCUGCGAGCACUUCCUAGUCUCUCUACUAUCUUCUCUGCUUCUCCCAUCCACCCUUGGCAUGAACCCUGCAGCGUUUCUAAAAGCAGACUUAGAAUGUGCAAUUCACUGGCCUGGCACUCUCCACUUGCUCCCCAUCGCCAAGGCUGUAAAACUUCUUCUCCUUAGCCUGCAGUAGAAGGUGCCUCUCAUCCUGGCCCCUGCAUUUCUCUCCGGUUUUACCUGCCAUCCCUUCCCGACUGCUCACUAUGUGCCAGCUGCACAAAAUUCCACCAGACUUCUGAGACAGUCCGGUCCUUCCCAACUUGGUGGCUUUGCACAAGCUGUGCUGUGUACCUCGCAUUCUCCCCUGUGGGAACCCCCUCCCUCCUUCAAGAUCCAAACCAAAUGUCAUUUCCACAGUGAAGCCUUCACUGCAUCUCCCUUGCCACCAAGGAUAGAGGGAAUCAUUCCUUAUGCUCCUAUGACGUUUUCCACGCACCUCCAUGAGAGAAGCACUAUGGCAUAGUGGCCACAAAGAUGCACUCCAUAGUAGAUCGCCAGGGUUCAAAGCCCGGCCCAGUACAUGCUACCUCUCUGACUUUGAGCAAAGUACCUCACCUAUGCCUCAGUUUCAUCAGCUGUAAAACGUGGGAGUAAUAAUAGUAAAUACCACAUAGGAUUGCUGUCGGAAAUAAGUGUGUUAAGCACUUAAAACUUUCAGAAGAGUAUCCAUUCAUAAUGAAUGCUCAGUGUGUGCUCGCUAUUAUCCUGUCCACUAAAAAUUGAGUACUGUCAUCAUCUGCUUAGGUGUCUCCUUGUCUAGAAAAGAGGGUGGGGACUGUGUCUUACUCAUGGCUAUAUUCCUGAUGCCUGACAGUUCCAUGUAAUAGGCCCGCAAUAAAUGUUUAUUGAACAAGUAGAUUAUUUUCUGGGCAGUAAAAUAUCCCCAUGACUCCAGAGGUUUUAUCUCAGGGAACUUUAUUUAUUUCUUUGUUUUGCUCCACGGAAAAGAAGACAUUACAUAAAUCCGUAAAGCACUCUGUCCUGCACAGAGCCACUUGAAGUCCGUCUCAUGAGUCCCUCCAUGAAGCGGGAGUAUGGCAUCCUGAUCAGAGUCUUUGUUCUACCAGGGACUGUGUGUCCUUGAACAAGUCACUUUCAUUCGUUUGCUCAAAAUGUUCCUGUCGAACGUGAGUUAUGUGUCGGUUCUAGGGACCAGAGAGAAAGCAUUGCGCAAGACAGCCAAGGUUCCUAUUCGCCAGGACCUCGAGUAGAGGGAAACAGUGUAUCAAGUAAUGAAUAAGAGAAAGAAAAAAAGUUGGAUAGUUUUAAGUGCUAUGAUUGAAAUAAAAUAAGAAAACAUGUGAGAAAGUGCCUGGAAAGGCUACAUUUAAAAAGUAGGUCAAGGAAGGCUUUUCUGAAGGCCAACAGUAACAUUUAGACUUGAGGUUGAGGCCUAGGGGAAGAAGAGUCCAAGCAGAGGGGGCAGCUGCUGCAAGGGUCUGAUAUAAAAUUGAACUCGGAGUGCUCCAGGGAUCAGAAGAAAUUCCGUGUGCCUGGAACUUGGGAGGGUAAGAGUAAUACCACCUGAAGUCAUUAAGAAAGGCAGGGGCCGCACAGGUGGGGGAAAGAAACUGGAUUUUAUACUGAGUGCAACAGGUGGUCACUGGAAGGUUUUGAGCCGGACAGUAAUAUGGUUUGAUAUCCGCUUUUAGAAGAGCCUAAAGGAGAAUGGAUUACGAGAUAAGCAGAGGCGGGAGAAUGAGCCGUGAGACCAGAUAGGAGGCUAUUCCUGUAACGUAGGUGAAUAGCACACAAGCUCAGGUGGUGUCUGUGGAGUAGGACUUGGUGAACCAGAGCCCUGAUGCUGACCGAUUGAAUGUAGGGGUAAAGAAAGAGGAGAAUCAAGAACGGUUCCUAAGUUUUUGCCCGUGGUGUUUGAGGAAAUUCUGUAGGCAAUACGUUCCGCACCUAGGAAUACUACUCCAGUUCACCUCCCAGGUGGCAUACAAGGCUCCCAGUCAUUGGAUGGGGACAGCUGGGCAAGUACAGAACAGAGGUAGGAGAUUCGAGACAUCUGUCUUCAAAAUGUUAAAUUUGAGAUGCCUGGUAGAUAUCCAAAUGGAAAAGACAUGAAGUUACGUACCCAAGUCUUGAGUUCAGGGGAAGAGGUCAGAACUGCGGAUAGGUAAGUAGGAAUCACUGGCCUCACAUAGCGUUUACAGCUACGGGGGCAGGUGUGAUCACCUAGGAUGAGUAUAUAGUCGAAGAAGGAUCCCGGAGCAGAACCCUGGAAAGGGCAGUAUUUGAAGGUGGUGUACUGCGGUCCAGCAAAAUGUACCAAAGGGAAGCAGCCAGUAUCAAAGCAUGAACUCCAGGAGAGAUGUUCUUGGAAGCCAAGAGAAGAAAAUAUUUCAAAACAAAGGGAUUGGUAAACUGGGUCAAAUGCUGCCAAGAGAUGAACUAGGAAGAGGGUUAGAUUUGGUAACAUGGAAAUCUUUGGUGACCUUUCAGCUUCACAUCUCAUCUCUUGGACUCAGU